CUACUUAUAAGGAGUUAGAUUGUCACGACCCAAAUUUUUCUCCGUAGGAUGUCGUGGUGGCACCUAGUCUAAGACUAGAUAAGCCUAACAAAUAUGCAGAAUAACUUAAUUAAUAGUUAAGCCUCAAACUCAGCAACUAUGUAAAACAAACUCUGCAAAUUAACAUAUACAACUCCCGAGACCCGAUGAAAUACAAGUCACAAGCUUUAAGUAGAAAUACUGGAUAAUCCGAUACAUCAAUGUCUAUAUCUAAAACGAUAAUGCAUAAUGAUAUCUAGAGGGAGGAGAACUCUGAGGCCUGCGGACGAUGGCAGGUAUACCUUGAAGUCUCCGUAGCAGAAUCCUAGCUAAUGCAUAGGAUGGUAGGAAGUACCUAGAUAUGCACAAAAAGAUGUGUAGAAGAGUAGCAUGCGUACACCACAAUAGUACCCAAUAAGUGUCAAGUCUAACCUCGAUAGAGUAGUGACAAGAUCAAGUCAGGUCCCUACUGAAAAUAAAUAAGAAGACUGAACAAGUGUAAGGUACUGUAAUAAUGACAGUAAUGAAAUUGAAACAACAAAUAUCAUAUCAAGAUUUAACUACACGAACUAAGCAAUUAGUGCAAUGCGGAUAAAACAAAUAAAAAUUCUAAGGAAACAAUAACCAAAGACAAGUGCAAUAACAGAGAAAUUCUAAUAAGAGUCACUACCGGGGUACCGCCUUAUAGUGUCAAAUCACAAGAAUAAGUUACAAUCUUUCCUUAUAUCACCGCGGGAGCCUUCACAUUUAGUUUUGAAAAUUAUUUUUUCCGAAAUAGUAUCUCGAGUUUUAGCCCACCUUAUCACACCGCAUGUCUUCUAGUAGUUCCCCUACUAGCCACGUGUAUCAAGCCCGCCUUAUCUCACCACAUACGUUUCAACCCCAAGACCUUAUACCACCACAUGCAUAUCAAUAUCACAAUGUAUAACAAAUCGCACCUCAAGUGCCCAAUAUCACAACUAGCCGUAGAAACCAAACAAUAACAGAAUUCGCAAUUAGGAGCCCACCGCUCAACCACAAUGUACACAAAGCCUCAACAAUAACAACCGGAAGUGAAUAACUCAAUAAAAUGAUAUUUCACAACACUUUCCCUAAAUAGAAAUUUCGGCCGUUGUAACUCGAUACCAAUUUCAACAAUCAGAUAUUUCCAAGAAAGACAACUUCAAGUAAAGAGUUCAACAAUUAAAUAAUGAAUACGGAAUAAAGGAACAAGAUCUUCAACUAAACAUGUAGAGCAAAUAGCAAGUAAGAGAUAAGACAAGUAGACAUGUGAAAUAGACUAGAAAGGAUGACUAUAACAUGUUAAGAUAACUCAAUUAAGACAUGAAAUGAAAUCAACAUAGCUAAAAAUGGUAGUUUCUAUAUUUAGCCCGUGUACACACUCGUCACCUUGCGUACAUGAUUUUCACAUACCACAAUUAUCAUAAUCGAUAAACUCCUAAGGGGUAUUUCCCAUAGAAGGUUAGACAAGUCACUUACCUCAAAUCGAGCUAACUUAAUCAACUAGAAGGCCUUUCCCUCUAUUAUCCGACUCUGAACGGCUCGAAUCUAACCAAAACAACUUCAUACAAUAAAUAUAAACUAUAGGAAACUAAUUCAAACAAUAAAAUUAUGACCUUUAAUAAGAAAUAAAAAGUCAACUUAAAAAGUCCACCCGAACAUCCAUGUCGAACCCAACCAAAGUUAUACAAUUCGAACACCCAUUCGAUAACGAGUCCACUCAUACAAGAAUUACUGAAAUCCGACCUCAAAUAGCCUUGAAAAUCCUUAAUUUUUAGCCUAAGAAGUUUUACAAAUUUUUCUCAAAUUUUCAGCUCAAAAACACUAAUUAAAUGAUGAAAUUAUCAACAGAUUCAUGUAAAUUAACCAAAACCGAGUUAGGAUUCCUUAUUCCAAAGUUCUCUAUAAAAACCCUCAAAAUAUUGCCUCCCACCGAGCUCUCUAUGUCCAAAAAUGGACUAUGAAGAUUUACCCUCGAACAAGACCUUUCUGCUCAGUGAUCCUCGCUUUUGCGGGCCUGGGGUCGCACAUGCGGAAAAACCAUCACAGGUGCAGAUUCCACUUAAGUCUAGGAGUACCGCUUCUAAGGACCAUGGCUCGCACCUGCGAUCCCGCUUCUACAGAGAAGGAGACCGCACCUGCGGUCCUGCCCAAAGCCUCCUCCUCCAAUUCUUCUUCUACGCAAGCUGGUCCGCGCCUACGUAGGCGCAUAUGCACCCAUGUGUCCGAACCUGCGAGCCCAGCCCCGGCUCUCCUUUUCCCUCCUGCGCUGCACCUUCCGCACCCACAAUUCUGCACCUACAGUCAAUCCCUCUGCAUGUGCGAUAACACCAGCAGGCUUGGGACUUCUGCAAUGAAGCUAAGUCCAAAAUUGGUCUGAAUUCGAUCCGAACCAGACCCGGGGGCCGAGGACCCCGUCUGAAUAUACCAACAAGUUCCAAAACAUAUAACGGACCUGUUCGAGGAAAAAAAUCACGUCAAACAACAUCGAUUCUACUAAUCGCAACCCAAAAUCAAGCCUAUGCAACUAUGAACUUUUGAAUUCCGAAACAAAUGCGGAUUCAUACCAAAACAACUCCGAUUGACUCCAACAUUUUCACACAAGUUAUAAAUGACAUCGCUGACCUAUUCUAACUUCCAAAACCGGUAUUUGACCCCGAUAUCAUUAAUGUCUACUCUCAGUCAAACUUUCCAAAAUCUUUUUUUUUCAACGUUCGCCAAUUCAUGCCGAAAUGACCAAGUCAACAUCCAGACAUGCUCCUAAGUCUAAAAUCACCAUACAGAGCUCUUGUAUCCGUCAAAACUCCAUUCUGAGGUCGUCUAGACAAAAUUCAAACUACGGUUAACUCUUUCAACUUAAACCUCCCAACUUUGGGAUUAUGUGUCCCAUUUCACUAUGAAACUCACCCGGAACAAAACCCAAACAUCCCGGCAAGUUACAUAACCACAAUAUAUCACAGAAAAGGCAAUAAAUAGGGGAUCAAGACUAAAUUACUCAAAAUAACCGACCGGUUAAUUACCUCCUACCUCUCUUAAAGAAAAUGUUCGUCCUCAAACGAGUGUAGAGACAUACCUGAAGUGGUGAAAAGAUGAGGAUAACGGCUAAGUAUAUCAUGCUCGAUCUCCCAAGUCUCCUCCUCGACUGGCUGACCCCUCCACUAAACCUUGGCUGACGCAAUGUUCUUCGACCUCAACUUCCGAACCUGCCUGUCCAAAAUGGCCACCGGCUCAACAUAAGACAAAAUCCUUGUCCAACUGGACUGAGAUGAAAUCUUACACGUGAGACGGAUCACUGUGAUUCUUCCGAAGCAUAGAAAUAUGAAAUACUGGAUGAACUGCAGUUAGACUAGGUGAUAGUGCAAGCCUAUAGGCCACCUCUUCAAUCCUCUCAUGUAUCUCAAAUGGUACGAUAUACCUAGGUAUCAAAUUUCCCUUCUUCCCAAACCUCAUAACACCCUUUAUUGGCGAAACCCGGAGCAAGACCUGCCCAACCAUGAAUGUAACAUCGCGACCCUUCCAAUCCGCAUAACUCUUCUAUCUGGAUUGAGCUGUACGAAGUCGAUCUUGAAUAAAUAUAACCUUUUCCAAAGCAUCCUGAACCAAGUCUGUACCCCGUAGCCUAGCCUCACCCGGCUCAAACCAACCCACUAGACACCGGCACCACCUCCCAUACAAAGACUCAUACAAAACCAUCUGAAUGCUCGACUGGUAGCUGUUUUGUAGGCAAACUCCACAAGAAGCAAUAACUGAUCCCAAGAACCCCAAGACUCCAUCACACACGCGCAGAGCAUAUCCUCCAGUAUCUGAAUAGUAUGCUUGGACUGUCCAUCCGUCUGAGGGUGAAUGUUGUACUCAACUCAAACCGUGUGCCUAAUUUAUGUUGUACGUCCCUACAGAACCGUGAUGUAAACUGUGUACCCUGGUCAAAGAUGACAAGUACUAGCGCCAUGAAGUCUGACAAUCUCGCAAAUAUAAACCUUACCCAACUCCUCUGAGUAAUAAGUGGUCACCACUGGAAUGAAAUGAGCCAACUUGGUCAACCUCUCUACAAUCACCCAUACUGCCUCGAACUUCCUCUGAGUCCAUGGAAGCCCAACAAAAAAAUCCAUAGUAACCCGCUCCCAUUUCCACUAUAGAAUCUCUAACCUUUGAAGUAGUCCACUUGGCCGUUAAUGCUCAUACUUUACCUACUGACAAUUUAGGCACCGAGCCACAUACUCCACUAUAUCUUUCUUCAUCCUCCUCCACCAAUAGUGCUGUCUCAAGUCUUGAUACAUCUUUGCGGCACCUGGAUGAAUAGAAUACUGCAAACUGUGAGCCUCCUGGAGAAUCAACUCCUGCAAACCAUCUACAUUGGACACACAUAGCUUUCUUGCUUCUAUAAUACACCAUCCUUCCCAAUAGCGACCUCAUUGGCAUCGUCGUGCUGAACCGUGUCUUUGAGGACAAGCAAAUGGAAGUUGUCAUACUAAUGUUCUCUGAUAAGAUCAUAAAGAGAAGACCGUGAAACCACACAUGCCAAAACUUGACUCAGCUCUGAAACAUACAAUCUAACAAACUGGUUGUCCAAGUCCUAACAUCCAAGGCUAAUGGCCUCUGCAUUGCCAGUACAUAUGCUAAACUGCCAAAGCUCUUUUCCUUGUAACUCAUGGAAUUGGCCACGAUGUUGGCCUUCUCGGAAUGAUAUAGAAUGGUGAUAUCAUAAUCCUUAAGCAACUAUAACCACCUAUGUUGAUGCAAGAUAAGAUCCUUCUAUUUGAACAAAUGCUGUAGACUCCGGUUGUCAGUAUAGACCUCACAAGGGACAUCGUACAAUAGUGCUGCCAAAUCUUCAAGGCAUGAACAAUAGCUGCUAACUCGAGGUCAUAGACAAGAUAGUUCUUCUCAUGCACCUUCAACUGCCUAGAUGCGUAGGCUAUCACCCUACCGUCCUAUAUCAAUACCACGCCGAGGCCAACACGCGAUACCUCACAGUAUAUAGUAUAAGCCCCCGAACCCGUAGGAAAUACCAACACUGAGGUUGUAGUCAAAACUGUCUAGCACUUUUGAAAACUUUCCUUACACUCGUCGGUCCACCUGAACAGAGCACCCUUCUAGGUCAAUCUGAUCUAGGCCAACUCUGUACUGCUUCAAUCUUAUUUGGAUCUACCUUGAUCCCCUCACUCGACACUACAUAACCCAAAAAUGCCACCGAAUCAAGCCAUAAGUCACACUUUGAAAAUUUUGCAUACAACUAGCUCACUUGGCUCAACAAUAGAAAUCCCUACAGUUCAGCCAUCCACGACUAAUUAAUUCACUCUUCUUAAAGAUCUUGUGAAAUGGUCUAUGUCAUUCGCUUUCCCUUCCAUUCUUAUGGUAACUAGGCCUGAUAGCAUCUUUGCUAGUCUUUCCGGACUAGGAGCUCUACUAGGAUUGAUCAUGGGAAAUUACUUGAUUUAUGAAAGAAAGAAUGACGUGGGUGUCACACCUCUUUUUUACCACACGAGGGUAUAUGAGAGUUUUUUCCAAAUUAAGUGACAUUAUUCGAAAUGGGAUUAUUUAAAUUAUCAGAGUCGCCACUUGGAAUAGUUUAUUUGGCGUCCAAAGUCACCGGUUUAUUUUAAAUCCCAGAUAGAGGAAGUUUCGAGUUUGUUUUAAAAGUCUGCGAACCAAAAAUUCUAGAUAAGAAAUUCUGUUAACCCGGGAGAAGGUGUUAGGCAUUCCCGGGUUCCGUGGUUCUAGCACGGUCGCUUAGUGAUUUAUACUUGGCUUAAGUUGUCUAUUACUUAUUUUAGGACCUAUGUGCAUAUACCUUUUACCGCUUUUAGUCACUUGAUUUAUUCGUAAUUAAAGAAUUGAGUUACACGUACGUAUACUCUUUUCCUUUGGCGGGUCAAAAUCAUGUCACGCGACGUAUCCACAAUUAAUAACGCUUUAUUUAUUUUAUUAAGAAAAGUUUGGUUGAAGUUGCGUGAACGCAUCCCUCGGGUUACUUUUAGAAUUAAAUUAACAAUUAUGUUACACGAACGUAUAUAUAAUCGCAAUACUAAUAUAAAUCAGGCCUAAAGCAAACUACGAUUAUUUAGGGUUAUUCUAAUACUAAAUUAAUAUUUAUAUGAGGGCCAUAGGUUAUUUGGUGAAAUAUGGCAUACCUCAAUUUUAGAAGGCUUGUUUAAUUAAGGUAAUAAAAGGAGUUCUUACUCACAACUAUUUUGGACUUAAUGUCAAACUAAUAAUUAUAGGUAGGGAAAUAUGAGGCAGGUCUUUAUUUAUUUGAAAGAAUCUGGGCCAGUAUUAGGCCCGAUGUAUUAUUGAGCAUGCGAAAGAAAGGGAAGUGGAGAUGUCACCAAUUGGGCUCCAAAAUCGGGCCAUGUGCAGGACCAAAGGGAAAUUGAAUAACAUGGGUCCGAUUUGGCUAGGAAUCACGACUUGGGCCAUCAGUAGGCCCAAUUUUUCAAUGAUCAAGUCUUUAAAUACUAAAAACAACUACUGCAAUCACAACAAAACCUUUAUGCCAAUAUUUGCAUAGAUUUUAAAACAGAACACAUAAUAUGAUAGGCCCUAACUAAUUAACAUGUAUCUAAUAAUAACAAGAGCAAAUUACAAUCUACACCAUUUUAAAACACGGAUGAACAUCAACUUUUAAAAAUGCAUGGAAUCAGUAGUGAUUAAGGGCUAAAUGAUUGUAUUUUUUACAAGAGGACUAACUCUUAUUUACAAGAUGUAUAACAGACCUUUCAAUUGAAACAUCUAUUCUAAAUCAAAAAUUUAAAGCUUCCAAAUAACUUACACAUCACAGCCACACUAGCAAAGAAGAAAUCCAGCUAUAAUACUAGCACUCCUCAUGACUUACAUGAAUAUGUUUAUUUAAAAGGAGUCUAAAACAGUCCUACAUAUAAAGUCCUUCAAAUAAUAGUCCAGUCUCUUAUGUACACAUGAAAUUCCAAUUCUAAUUUUCAGCUCAAAAGCUAAGAUAAAAUUGGAUAAAAAUAGAUAUCGAUUUUACAUAAUGAAAUGAGGACUUAAACAGACGAAGGGAAGGAAUAAAAACAAAAAAAAGAAAUAAAGAAAAGAAGCAAGAAAGUGUUUUAAAGAAAAGAAGAAGCAUAGAUCUGCAGCUUCAAUAUCUAGCCAAGCAUAUUAUAACUUCAACUUUGUAUUUCAUGGUUUGGUGAAGUACCUGAUACAGCAACAAGGAAAGCAAAAUCCUGAGGUCAAAACAAUAUGAAAAUCGACCAGGAAAACAGCAACCAAAGCAACAACUAAAAUCACAGCUUCAAUGACCAACUCUACUUCAACUUAGAACCUAGAAAUUCCCAUGAAAUAGAACCCUUUUGUAAAAAAAAAAAAAACUAGUAUGCUUUUCGAGUAAACUUAGA
rnacentral:lncRNA from 1 species